UACGAAGGGGGCUAGCGUUGCUCGGAAUUACUGGGCGUAAAGCGUGCGCAGGCGGCUUCGCAAGUCAGACGUGAAAUCCCCGGGCUUAACCUGGGAAUGGCGUUUGAAACUACGGAGCUGGAGUGUGGCAGAGGGAGGUAGAGUUCCACGUGUAGCGGUGAAAUGCGUAGAUAUGUGGAGGAAUACCGAUGGCGAAGGCAGCCUCCUGGGCCAACACUGACGCUCAUGCACGAAAGCGUGGGGAGCAAACAGG
rnacentral:rRNA from 1 species